rnacentral:rRNA from 1 species
CACGUAGGGCGCAAGCGUUGUCCGGAUUUAUUGGGCGUAAAGAGCGUGUAGGCGGCCUGACAGGUCUGCUGUGAAAACUCGAGGCUCAACCUCGAGAUGUCGGCGGAAACCGUCUGGCUAGAGUCCGGAAGAGGAGAGUGGAAUUCCUGGUGUAGCGGUGAAAUGCGCAGAUAUCAGGAAGAACACCUAUGGCGAAGGCAGCUCUCUGGGACGGUACUGACGCUGAGACGCGAAAGCGUGGGGAGCGAACAGG